rnacentral:rRNA from 1 species
ACGCUCGACACCUACGGGAGGCAGCAGUGGGGAAUAUUGCACAAUGGGGGAAACCCUGAUGCAGCAACGCCGCGUGAGUGAAGAAGUAUUUCGGUAUGUAAAGCUCUAUCAGCAGGGAAGAUAAUGACGGUACCUGACUAAGAAGCUCCGGCUAAAUACGNGCAAGCAGCCGCGGUAAUCUGGAGCCGGGUCUGGCAAGGC